GACGAACGCUGGCGGCGUGCCUAAUACAUGCAAGUUGAGCGCUGAAGGUUGGUACUUGUACCGACUGGAUGAGCAGCGAACGGGUGAGUAACGCGUGGGGAAUCUGCCUUUGAGCGGGGGACAACAUUUGGAAACGAAUGCUAAUACCGCAUAAAAACUUUAAACACAAGUUUUAAGUUUGAAAGAUGCAAUUGCAUCACUCAAAGAUGAUCCCGCGUUGUAUUAGCUAGUUGGUGAGGUAAAGGCUCACCAAGGCGAUGAUACAUAGCCGACCUGAGAGGGUGAUCGGCCACAUUGGGACUGAGACACGGCCCAAACUCCUACGGGAGGCAGCAGUAGGGAAUCUUCGGCAAUGGACGAAAGUCUGACCGAGCAACGCCGCGUGAGUGAAGAAGGUUUUCGGAUCGUAAAACUCUGUUGGUAAAGAAGAACGUUGGUGAGAGUGGAAAGCUCAUCAAGUGACGGUAACUACCCAGAAAGGGACGGCUAACUACGUG
rnacentral:rRNA from 1 species